GCAUUCGUGGUCUAAUGGUAUGAUGUCUGCCUUCCAUCACAUCUGAGGUCAGCAUGCGAACCGGGUUCGAUUCCCGGCGGAUGCA
rnacentral:tRNA from 1 species